rnacentral:lncRNA from 1 species
AAUUUCAGAGAAAAGGAAGAGAUACCAGUGGAACUCCUAAGUGACCAGGAACAGACGAUUUUUAACCGAGUUCUGCUGCGUGGAGCCCAGGUUGGCGCUAGUGAGUGCAGUGUGCUGACCCAAGUGGUGGUGGCCCAAGGACGCGCUGACCCGUACAUUUGGCAAAGCUUUCAUUAAAUGUAUCAGAUUCUCGCGGAAGUGGUUGCAGUCCGGAGAGUGAAACAGCUAUCUCUCAAGUCCUGACCGGUUCAGCUGAAAUCUACAUUUGCACUGAAUCUGGCAAAACACGGACGGGUCCGCCCGAGAUCUCAGGAAACCCAGAGCAAGUUACCUCCAUGUAGUUGAUCAUUCUUUCUGAAAGGACGGACACCAUUUACCCCACUGCAAUCCUGUCCAACGGGCAGCUCUGAGUUUAGCUUUAGCGCCAAAGGAUUGAUUUCCCCCACCCGCUGGAGAUUUACUGGGGACGAGCGGGGGAGGGGAGGCGAAGGUACCUCGGAGGAGGUCAAGUGGGGGAGGAGGAGGAGCAGCAGAAAAUUACCAGCCAAGCAGGGGAGGGAGUUGGAAGCCCGGAAAUAUACCAGGAUGCCUCAAGUAACCUUCCUUUAAGUCUCAGAAUUCAGCCCUCGGAAAACAGCCUCAUAAGGUGUCCUGGGAAGGAGUCCUCGGGUGGGCUGCGGAGGUGAUGUCAAGAGUUACAGCUACUUUAUGAAUUAAACUGACGGCUAAGGCAUGUCGGGACAGUUUAGUGUAAGCUGAAUGGUGCGUGGACGGGGCAACUUUUAAAGAGAGGUGGGCAAUCAUUGGUGGCAUCUACCAGUAUAUUCUGCAUGUAACAGUAGUUUGGAAGCUGAAGAAAAACCCCUCAAAUCCCAGUAAAUGCCCGGUCAGUUCGAGAGAGAUUUUAGGGACAAUUUUGAAGGUCGCUGUCUGCUCCAACUCCGCAGAGAUGAACAAGAGUGUGAACUCUGGCGCGGGUGUGUUUAGAAUUAUCUACGACUUCAGAUCCAUGCUGUUGAAACUCAUCAAUUCUUUGUGACUUCACGUGGAGAGAAGAAUUUGCCCUGCCUCCCUACCUGCUAAAUGCCGACUGAGAAAAGGGGCCCAGGAGACGACCCCUUUCAGAAAGAACGUCACUUCAUCAACUCGGCUGAGUUAUUAACUUGCUCCCCGAAAGGUCAACAACGCCUUCUCUUCUCAGCCGCACCGCGCGGAGAUCAAUCGCUUUACCCUAGGUAGCCUCUUGUUCAGGGCUCAGGAACUCCUGUCUUAAGGUCCUUCUGGGGCUCAGAAGCUGUGUUGUGUAUGUUCUUUCCAAGAAUCCCACCUGUCUGCUUUCAAGCACACACGGCGCUAGAAAUUUAGCCUAGCCUGAGUCCUGGGAUGAGAGAAGAGCUAAACAAAGAGACCCCAACCGUCCCCUUGGCCCCCUGCCCCGCCGUUUUGCAGUUUGCCAACCUUCUAGCUAGACAGCCCCCUAAGUCUCCGUGUUGCGAGUGAAAGAGAAUUUUUCUAUUUCAUCUUCCCAUUGACCGAAGCAGAAAAAUUGAACCGAAUCUACGCCCCUUGUUCUGAUUCCUGCUAGAGGAAAACAGAAAAUCAUCCCGCAGGUCUCUUUCAGUCCCUGGAUGGCGAGCGCAGCCCCUGGGAGGCCACACUUAGUUCUUUAUUGUGAAUCUCUCGCUACUCAAGUUCGUUCGGGACCAGGGCCUCGGAUGGCCUCGGUUGCCCGUAAGUACGCGAAAGAAGAGGUGAAUCCAAUCGCUGGCCUAGAGGAUAGUGAUCAGACAACCCGAGGAUUACUAAACAAGGGGCGGCGGUGUCCCUGUCUCAUGGGGUUGGCGUGGGGCGGGGGGUAGGCAGCAAGAUCCUCCAGGCUCCUGGAUGCAAAGAGUGAGAAAGAAAGCGCAGCCUCUGGCAGCCUGCUUAUAAAUGCAGCCUUUCGGAAGAUGAAACUUGCAGUCUUAGGUUGUCCUCCUUUAUAUCCAUGUUCCAAUCCUCUGGGCUUUCCUCGAAAUGAAUAAAAUUGUGGAAAUGA